rnacentral:tRNA from 1 species
AGCGAGGUGGGGAAGCCAGGAUCAUCCCGGCGGGCUCAUAACCCGCAGAGCGGAGAUCGGGCGAGAGCUCGACCGUGCGUUCAAAUCCUCCCCUCGCUA